rnacentral:rRNA from 1 species
UACGUAGGGUGCAAGCGUUGUCCGGAAUUAUUGGGCGUAAAGGGAGUGUAGGCUGUCUUGUAAGUCUUCUGUGAAAUCUACGGGCUUAGCCUGUAACGUGCAGAGGAAACUGCGAGGCUUGAGUGUUGGAGAGGACAGUGGAAUUCCCGGUGUAGAAGUGAAAUUCGUAGAGAUCGGGAGGAACACCAGUGGCGAAGGCGACUGUCUGGCUGACAACUGACGCUGAGACUCGAAAGCAUGGGGAGCAAACAGG